GACGAACGCGGCGGCGUGCUUAACACAUGCAAGUCGAACGAAGAGCGAUGGAAGCUUGCUUCUAUCAAUCUUAGUGGCGAACGGGUGAGUAACGCGUAAUCAACCUGCCCUUCAGAGGGGGACAACAGUUGGAAACGACUGCUAAUACCGCAUACGAUCUAAUCUCGGCAUCGAGGAAAGAUGAAAGGUGGCCUCUAUUUAUAAGCUAUCACUGAAGGAGGGGAUUGCGUCUGAUUAGCUAGUUGGAGGGGUAACGGCCCACCAAGGCGAUGAUCAGUAGCCGGUCUGAGAGGAUGAACGGCCACAUUGGGACUGAGACACGGCCCAGACUCCUACGGGAGGCAGCAGUGGGGAAUCUUCCGCAAUGGACGAAAGUCUGACGGAGCAACGCCGCGUGAGUGAUGACGGCCUUCGGGUUGUAAAGCUCUGUUAAUCGGGACGAAAGGCCUUCUUGCGAAUAGUGAGAAGGAUUGACGUACCGGAAUAGAAAGCC
rnacentral:rRNA from 1 species